AUCUCUUUCUGGAGAUUGCUGCCUUUGGAGUUUCCUACUGUGAGCCUAGGAUACAGAUCUUCAUCUGCUAUUCUUGUGAUGCUGGUAGAAGAAACUUUGUAGGCAAGGUAACUACUAGCACUGAAGAAUUCCUUAAUUAGCUCUUUAAACUGAGUUGGGCUUCAUGCAAAGGGUAUCCAAACUUCUCCAAGUUUCUUUUCAGUAUGCAGAAGCCAAAACGCCCUGGAGUCUCACAUAUGAAGACAGUAUCACCUUUGUGGGGGCCUGAGGAUGAACAGUCUCAUUAUUUUGCCAAGAUAUACACAAUACUGCUGAAAAAGUAUAUAAUAACUUAGGAAACUAUUAACACAAAGUUUAUGGCAGUCAUAGACUCAGACAUUUCUAGGUCAGUGUAAGAUUUCUGCUGUCAAGAGUUCCCAAGCCUCUAGAUGAUGCUGUAAAGAAAGAUUCACUCACUGUACUUGAACAGAGAGUGAGAGAGUACUUUAGCCUAUUUCUUUGCUUGCUUGGUUCCUUAUCUGUUUUCUGAAAGCUGCUGGAAAGCAACAGAGAUUUAGCUGCCAGGUCUGAACUGCAGGGGUGGAAUUGGCAGUAGUAAAAGCAAAAAGAUUCAGCAAAUAAAAGAUAAUAUAGAUCGUCUCCUGUUGUGCCUGUUUUCAAAUUACUGUGUUUAAAUGAACUUCUUGUUCUGCAAGCUGUCUUUAGUCUCUCGCUUGCUGGCCUCCAAUGACCUUUCUCUGAUUUUCUUUUUCCUUUAUAGUCUCAUGGCAUUGCAAACUUUUAUCUGCCUUGCUGGUAACUUAAAUAUGGAUAAAUUCAACACAUACUUUUAAUCUUAUGGGAAGUCUCAUCUCAAUUUGUAGAUGUUUAGGCAAUGGGAUACAGUAUAAGCUAAUGCUCUGUGCAAAAGACUACUGCAUGAUUUUUGCCUUGUGAAUAUAUGUAGGUUGCUCCAAAAGUAAUGCCUCCUAUUUAUUUUGGUGGAUACUACAAAAGAUACAAACAGCUAUUUGAUAGAGCAAAUUCUUGGCUACAAAACACUAUUUUUCAACAUAGUCACCACCACUAGAUGUGCAUUUUCACCAACCAAGAACAAGAGCCAGCAUGCUACAUGGCUUGUCCUUCACAUUGCUGUCACCACUGCUGAAAUGCAUCACCCACCACCUCACUAUGUUGACAUCCACUGUUUGGUAUCUGCAAAUGUUCAGCAAGCACAAUGUUAAUAUCCUAUCUCUCUCUUUCUUCAGUACUUAUAUAAGGACUGCAAAAAAUUCCUGAUCAGAUUCAGUGGGAAAGAUUAUCUUUAUUUUUCCUAUUUCUGUAAAUAAAAUUAGCCUAACACAAAC
ensembl:lncRNA